rnacentral:lncRNA from 1 species
AUAUAUUAUUCAUAUAAUAUAUUAAUAAACCAUAAUAUCCUCUCUCUUCAUAAAUCAUCAUGUCAAGUUGCUUUAGUGAAGCCAACCCAAAAGGACCAUGCAACAACCAGGUCAAGUACAUACCAAAUAUAGUUAGGGACUUAGACACUAAUCCAACAAAAUUUUCAUUUUAAAUAAGUCAAAACCAUUCAUACAUUAUCCCAAAAGACAAUUAGAGUAAAAUUAUUCUCAAAACAUCAGAGUAAAAUCAUAAAUAGUCAUUGUGGAAUAAAUCUUCAGGGGAUGCAGUACGAUCAAGUCGGGCUCUUCUUUUUAAAACUGGAAGUACCUGAAAAUGUUUUAACCACAAAAACGUAAACACAAAGCUUUGUGAGUUCCCUAAAAUACCACAUACGACAUAUAUACAAAUAUAAAAGCACAUGGUUGUGUCGGGUCCGUAUCAACCUGAUUCCAUAAUGACUAUGUGUAACAACUUGUAGUUGUGUCAUGUUUGUAUCAACCCCUAGGUCCAUAUCAACCCUUAGUCCAUAAUAACUCUAUAUAACAACUUGUAGCUAUGUUGGGUCUAUAUCAACUCCUAGGCCUGUAUCAACCCUGAGUCCAUAAUGACUCUAUAUAACAGCUUGUAUUUAUGUCAAGUCUGUUUCACCCCACAUACAUAAGCAUACAAACAUAUAAGUACGAGUCAAAAAGACAAUAAACACAUACAGACAUAUCAACAAAUGUCACAAAGACAACCAUCAUCAUGUUAACAUAAUUUAGUGGGUCGACAUUGGUGUCUUCUUAUGGGUAUUAUUUUGGAUUAGGUGUCUAAGCCCAUAACUAUAAUUGGUAUGUACUUGAUUUGAUAGUAGCAUGGUCCUUUUGGGUUGCGUUCACACUAGCAAUUAGACAGGAUGACUAUUGGAGAGAGAGGCUGAUUUUAUUGUUUAGAAUAAUAAUUUGGUGCAUAAAUAUGAUGUAUUAAUAUAUUAAUUAGCAAUCAUAUUGUUAAUAACUAUUUAAUCAAAAAUUAAGUUGGAAUUAAUUUUGGGAUUAAAGGAAUGGACUAAAAGUGCAGGGGUUAUUUUGUAAAUAUUUGAUAGUUAAGGUUUUGGGCCAUUAGAUCACCCUUAUUAGGGGGGGGGGGGCAAAAAUCCCUAGAAGGUUCUAGAGAUUUUAGUCCAAGCCCUAAGGAAGAGGUCCAUGGACUUGCUUAGGCCCUAAGCUAAGGAAUUAGGGUUUCCACCUUAAAACCCUAGCUAGCCUCAAGUAUAAAUAGAGCCUCUUUGCUCUUGAAUUCGGCCACCCCUUUGGAAACCCUAAAAGAGACGAUUUCUGGAGCAAGUCACUCUCUCUCCUCUCUCUCAUAUUCAUCCUCUUGCCAUAUUGUGUUUGUGAGCUAUUAGAGGUACUACAAUUGUGGUACUUGUUCUCAAGAGCAAAGAAUCUUCAAGAAUUGAUUGUUAUUACUAUAUGGAAACAAAGGUAUGUAAUCUAAUCUUUGUAGAUUUUGAUUCAUUAGAUGCAUAUUAGGUUUGUUUUUUGUGUUCAAUGCUUGUAUGUAUAAUAGAGAAAACAUAGAUCCAAAUCUAGGGUUGCAUGCACAUAUAUGAUUGUUUGUAUAACACCCAUUAGUGGUAUCAGAGCCAGGUUUUGUAUAAAACCCUAGUAUUUUGAAAAUUUUAAAAUACACCCUUAUACUAUAUAUAAUUAAAAGUUUAAUAUUAUAUAUGUAUAAGAAAAUUCGGUAUUACUAUUAGUAGGCCUCAUUCACGAAGCUGAACUAUAAGGGGUGUUUAAGAAAGUGGCCUAUAAAAUGACUUCCAUUGGGUAUACACUCUUAGAGGGUCGUUAGCCGAACGGGUAGGAUAGGACAUCAAUUCUCUCAUUAAUAAGUAUAAUGAUCUAUAGAAAGUAACUAAAAGUUUUUAUAAAUUUCCCAAUCUUAGUUACUUUAGGAAAAUGUGAAUUUGAUGCUAAUCCAUGAAAUUACACAUUGCACCUUGCCAAGUCGUUAGUGGAGCGUGUGUGGUUAACCAGCACACAAACUUGGACUAAAGUGCAUGGUUAUUCACACCUUGUUUGUGAUCCUCGGUAUCCCAGUCACAAAAUUGAAGGGCAUAAUCGAGAUUAAACAUGCCACUGAAUAGUUCAAUGAAUCUAGGAAUUUCAUUUCAUUUAAAACCUAAUUCUUUUAAUUUCGUUUUUCGUGGUGGAAUUGGUAAAUCGUCAUUUACCUACCUUCAAAUAAUUUACAAUUGGAUUACGACAUCCCUUUUCUAAAUUGUGAAUUAUUGUGUUGGGUCCUAGCCUUAAUAUUUCAUUUUGGAUGUUAUAUUAAGGAUUUCUUAUCUAAUCAAAACUUUGUCCUUCUUCUUUUGUAGAUGUCUACCUCAAACAACGCUUUUGGUUCCUCCAACAACAACUCCAAAUACUCCUUCUCGCUCUUGAAAAUUUGUAUGAGGAUCAAAUUCGAUGGUUCCAAUUUCAAUGAUUGGAUCUGGAACAUUCGAAUGGCCUUGCAUUACGAGGACAAAGAGUAUGUCCUUGAAAAACCGUUUAACGAGAUUGAUGACUUCAAAGCUACUCCCGAAGAAAUAGCUAAGUAUGGGGCUCACUACAAGGAUGCUACUAAGGUGUCAUGUAUUAUGGUAGCCACCAUGACUCCUGAGCUACAACAGUUCUACGAGGACUAGUGGCCUUACGAUAUGUGCAUGGACUUAAUGGAAAAGUGUAACGUCUGGGAUUUAUAAGGUACUAUUCUUAUUUAUAUAAGGUUAAUAGUUUUAAAAAUGUUUGGGCUUAGACCUUUGGGCCCUUGUAAUUGGGCUGAGAAAGCACUGUACGCGGAGCGUACAUUGCCAUGUACGCUCAACGUACUCAAGAGAUUGGAACGCGGAAGCCAUGCAUGUACGCCUAGCGUACCAAAGGGUACGUGCAGUGUACGCAUGCAGAUUCUAAAACCCUAAGUUUUAGGGUUUGAUCCCUAUAUAAAGGACCUUAUGCCUUUGGUCCAACCUCCCGCUCACCCUUAGACAACCACCACGAAAACCCUAACCCAUAUUUGUGUGUUCCUGUGAUUUGGUAGCCACUUGAGAGCAUUUUAGUGUUGUUUUGGUGUUUUGGAAGAGAAAGAAGUUUGAAGAAUGAGCAAGGAUUCAAAGGGAGCUUCUAGACCCAUGAGAUUAGCACCAUUUCUGACUCAUUUGAGGUAUCAAGCUUCAAGCUUGAUCAUUGCAUGCUUAGAUUUGAUAUUAGGGUGUUUUUAUGUCACUUUUGGACUCUAUUGUUGAGGCUUCUUAUAUCUUGAUAGUUUCAGACCAUAAGAGCUGUCCUUUUGAGCUCUUAGAAACACUUAGAGCCAUAAAAACCGGACCUAACAACCCGUCAACCCGUUUAUUAAACGGGUCAUAUAUGGAUUUCUCAAAAAAUAANGUAAUUAUGUAUCAAGUAUUAAUAUUUAAUAAGUAUUAUCUAUGUUUGUAUUUAAUGUUUAGUUUGAACAUGUUUCUAUGAGUGUUUUUAAUUUUAAUUUGGAUGUUUAAGACUUAAGUAGUUAAGUGUCUAAAAUUUGGAUAUGUUUGCAUCAACCAUCAAAAAUUUAUUCAUGUUUAAUUGUCAAUUUUAUUUAUCGAAUCUGACCCACGAACCCAAAUCUGACCUACGAACCCGCAAACCUGUGAACCCGUAUAAUUAAAUGGGUUGGUGGGUCAUAUAUGAGUUUAUGUUCCAAACCCGCCAACUCGUGACCUGUAUAUUUAAAUGAGUCGUGUUUGGGUUGAUAUAUUUUGACCCGUCAACCCGCGACAUGCCAACCCGAAUACGACAUGAUUGUCAGACCUAAAUUGAUGGAAUAAACAAAUUUAUAGAAAAUUUUAAUUAUAGUUAAAAGAAAAUUAACCGUCAUUCGAACAUUUUAAUAUUUGAACUUUAUAUAUGGAUGCCGUUUUUGGUCAUCUUACUGUUACUUCCUUAAAUAAUCAGAAUUUGUUCUUCAAAUAUUAAUCAACAGGUUAAAUGCACGAAAUGACAAUGCACUUCUAUCGACAAUGAAUAUUAUAUUUUUAAAUGAGUCGUGUUUGGGUUGAUAUAUUUUGACCCGUCAACCCACGACAUGCCAACCCGAAUACGACAUGAUUGUCAGACCUAAAUUGAUGGAAUAAACAAAUUUAUAGAAAAUUUUAAUUAUAGUUAAAAGAAAAUUAACCGUCAUUCGAACAUUUUAAUAUUUGAACUUUAUAUAUGGAUGCCGUUUUUGGUCAUCUUACUGUUACUUCCUUAAAUAAUCAGAAUUUGUUCUUCAAAUAUUAAUCAACAGGUUAAAUGCACGAAAUGACAAUGCACUUCUAUCGACAAUGAAUAUUAUAUUUUUGAGAUUAGUAAACAGAUUAACAUUCUUCUAUUUUUAUUUAAACAAAUGAUAUUUGUCUUUUUUCGUCAACUGGUAGUCAUGGAGUGCUUAAAGUUCACUAUAAUCUGGUAGUCAUGGAGUGCUUAAAGUUCACUAUAAUGGAAAACAAGGAGAUUACUAUGUUAUGGUAUGAUAAUAGUUAAUAGGAUUUUAGUUUAUUUAAAUGAAUAAGUACAUAACAUUUCUUUUUUCUCUAUUUUCAUUGCAGGCCAUGGACAAGGAGGAUAAUAGGUUGACGUUACCUUAAUUUUUUUGCACUUCUUACUUUAAUUGUUCUAUACUCUAAAGUGAUAUUACUAUAAUGAUUUUAGAGAUCGUAAUUGGAAAGGAAGAUGUUGAGUAUAUUAGAUGGCUUUUGUUUUGUUUGAAUGGAAUAGUUUUAAGGUAAUUGAACAUUAUACUCUUAUUUUAAACAACAAAGGGUAAAAUAGUACAAUAUUAUUUAUGUUUUAUUUGAAAUGUUGUAGGUUUGUUGAGAUGGCACAUCAUCUAACAUAUUUCUCUUGAAAGCUGUUAAAAACUCAACAAAAUAAAAUCCCUAAAUAUGAUUAGGUCGGUGUCCUAUCGUUUCAAUUACAACAUAAAACAUUCUCUAUAUUCCUAUUUUUAGGAUAUUGCAACAAGGUAUGAUGCAAUUUAAGAGAGAAGUAAUGUAUUUUUAUGACUUUGUGUAGUAACUAAACCUUUUGUAUUUAUUUUAAUUUCCCCUGUCACAUAAAUAGAUGACACAAAUAAAUUAUAUGAAUAAAUGUAGGCAUUAGAUGAUAAAAUAGAUCUUGCUGUAGACAUGUACUCUGGAAUUGGCGAAUUGAAGUCAUGAAGGAUCAUAAAAUGAUACAAUAUUGCAUGGAAUGAUAACUGAGGUCUAAAUCAAUUAUCAAAAAAUAACAAAUGUUUGCAAUUUCUGAGUCUCCUGUGAUGGCGAAAAGAAAUCAAAGCCUAUGAAUUGAUUGUAAACAAAAACAUGAAAAUGAAGAUAAAUGCCUUCUUGACAAAAAAUAAAAUCUAAAAAUUUAUGAAAGAAAUAAAUAAUUUGGUUACAUACCUUUAAAUUUGUUUUCUCCAUGAUCAAAGAAACGUUCAAUUUUUUGGUGUUUGCGGGAUUCUUCUCUAGUUAUUAUUAGACAUUAAAUUUAGUGUUUUUAACCAUCCCUGUAAUUGUGUAGAGAAAACCUCAAAGGCUGCAAGUAGUUUGAAGAAGAUGUUGGAUGAUGGUAAAAUCGAGCAUAAUGAAGGAAAUUUUGAUGGAAAUGAGAUUGGGAUGGACAAACAAGAUAUUUAUUGACAUGACACUAGGCCCCAUUACACAUACCCAAAAUGUUGAAGGGCCCAAUUUUUUUUAAGUGUAAGUAGGCUAUAAGAAAUAAUCUUAUAAUUGGAAGCGUGAACAAUGUAUUAUUAUUCACUGAUUUUGGAACAUGAAAAGUAUAAAAAA